GACGAACGCUGGCGGCGCGCCUAACACAUGCAAGUCGAACGGAGUCACGAGGAGCUUGCUUUUCUUGACUUAGUGGCGAACGGGUGAGUAACGCGUGAGUAACCUGCCCUGGAGUGGGGGACAACAGUUGGAAACGACUGCUAAUACCGCAUAAGCCCACGGAUCUGCAUGGAUCUGCGGGAAAAGGAUUUAUUCGCUCUAGGAUGGACUCGCGUCCAAUUAGCUAGUUGGUGAGGUAACGGCCCACCAAGGCGACGAUUGGUAGCCGAACUGAGAGGUUGAACGGCCACAUUGGGACUGAGACACGGCCCAGACUCCUACGGGAGGCAGCAGUGGGGGAUAUUGCACAAUGGGGGAAACCCUGAUGCAGCGACGCCGCGUGGAGGAAGAAGGUUUUCGGAUUGUAAACUCCUGUCGUUAGGGACGAUAAUGACGGUACCUAACAAGAAAGCACCAGCUAACUACGUG
rnacentral:rRNA from 1 species